GUCGAGCGGGGUAGCAAUACCUAGCGGCGGACGGGUGAGUAACGCGUGGGAACGUGCCCUUUGGUUCGGAAUAGCCCCGGGAAACUGGGAGUAAUACCGGAUAAGCUCUGCGGAGGAAAGAAUUUCGCCGAAGGAUCGGCCCGCGUUGGAUUAGGUAGUUGGUGGGGUAAUGGCCCACCAAGCCGACGAUCCAUAGCUGGUUUGAGAGGAUGAUCAGCCACACUGGGACUGAGACACGGCCCAGACUCCUACGGGAGGCAGCAGUGGGGAAUCUUACACAAUGGGGGAAACCCUGAUCUAGCCAUGCCGCGUGAGCGAUGAAGGCCUUAGGGUUGUAAAGCUCUUUCAGUGGGGAAGAUAAUGACUGUACCCACAGAAGAAGCCCCGGCUAACUCCGUGCCAGCAGCC
rnacentral:rRNA from 1 species